AUGUCCUCAUACCAGAUUAUUACCAUACUCAAGGCGUUUCAGGUUCCCGGGAAAUUUUAAAAUCUACAGAUAUCCCAUCACCAUCCAAGUAUUUCAAUCACUUAUCAGACAUAGUAAAUGCCUGUCAUUACGAACCGGUCAUCAAAUCUUCAAUGUAAGGAGUAACUGCUUGAUCCAAGGAUAAAUCUGACUGCCAUUCUGGGGUCAAGAAGGAAUUUUUCCCUAGCUUGUUGCAAAUUGGAAGUGCUUCAAACUGGGUUUUUCGCCUUCUUUUGGAUCAACCGUUUAAACACAUAUGUGAGGAAGGCUGAACUUGGUGGACACUAGUCUCUUUUCGGCUAUGUAUAUAUGUAAUCUAGUUUGUUGAGCCACUAUACCUGCUUUCACAGUCUAUUUGGUCCCACAUAUUUCCCGCAGCCACCACAUCCAUCUUGCAGCAUUGUCUCAGGAAGUCUCACCUAUUCACGUAGUCUAUUGUUUACCUUCUCUACACCACUCUUAGUCUACCCUAGAUGGCCAACACGUUUUUUUAUAUACCUUACUUCCCCUUGCACAAUCAAGAGUGCCGGUUAACGUGUCGGGCACCUAUUUUCUCACUCGGCAUUCACCAUACAGCUAGGCAAUUAGGUCUUUUUGCUGAUUGUUUUAUGUUUCUGGUAGGUAUCUCUUUUUGCCCUCUUUUAUUACAGGCCUACCUCUACGUCGGUUCUGGCACACCUCAACCGACUUACUUCCCCCUUUACUUUUCUAUACAGCCUUUUUGCCCCUCACACAAAUGUAAAGGCUUGGCCUGCAGUUGUGGGAGGGGCAUGUUACCCUACUUAAACCCCCUACUCACCUU